AUACUUACCUGGUAAGGAGACACCAUGAUGACAAAGGUGGUUUUCCCAGGGUGAGGCUCACCCAUUGCACUCCAGGUGUGCUGACCCCUGCGAUUUCCCCAAAUGCAGAAAAUUCGACUGCAAUAUUCAUGGUAUUGGGGGACUACAUUCACACUGUCCCCUG
rnacentral:snRNA from 1 species